rnacentral:rRNA from 1 species
GACGAACGCUGGCGGCGUGCUUAACACAUGCAAGUCGAACGGAAAGGCCCCUUUAUGGGUACUCGGGUGGCGAACGGGUGAGUAACACGUGAGUAACCUGCCCUUGACUUCGGGAUAACUUCAGGAUAAUGGAGCUAAUACCGGUUAGGAAUCCUUGCUGCAUGGUGGAGGUUGGAAAGCUUCGGGGGUUUUGGAUGGAUUCGCGGCUUAUCAGCUUGUUGGUGGGGUAGUGGAUUACCAAGGCUAUGACCGGUAGCCGGCAUGAGAGGGCGACCUGCCACAUUGGGACGGGGCUACGGCACAGACUGCAAAAGGCGGCAGAAGUGGGGAAUAUUGCACAAGAAGCGGAAGACUGGUGCAGCACCGCAGCGUGCGGGAUGACGGACUUCGGGUUGUAAAACGCUUUCAGAAGGGGCGAAGCUUGUGGUGACGGUAACUGCAGAAGAAGCAACGGCUAACUACGUG